rnacentral:lncRNA from 1 species
UAACAUAUAGAAGAAGAUCCCAAGGAUCUCAAAGUCCCUCAGAUGUCACCCUCUUGGUGGCACUGAAAAGAUGCAUUGCACAUCUUCCUGGGCACCUUUCAGAAAUAAUAGUUUUGAGACUAGGUCCACGUGAUAUGGAGAGCAUUCAGUGUGUGAUGGUGAGACUGUGCGCAUUCUUCCGUCUCCUGCUGUUACAGACAGUUAAUGUAAAAAUGGCCUUUUAUUGGAAACACAAAUAUGUAUUCACUUCAAGAAUAGGAGCAGAGGGGGGACAAAGUGUCUCUCCCGUUCUCUGUUUAUUGUGUGAAAACUAAAACAAACAAACAAAAGCGGCAAGUGCUGUAAUUUCUCAAGUCAAGCCAUCCUUGUUGUGGGCAGGUUGUGCACUUUCUUUCUUCAAGGAGCUGAAGUAUGCUUUGCACACCUUUCUCCCAGGGAGUGGCAUUUAACUGUGGGGCUGUCCAGGGGCUAGAAAAUGCAGCUGGAUGUGGAACUGCCAGGCUGGGCCAGGGCAGGCACCUUCAGUUCAGGGAGAGGCGAAUUGGGCACAUUAAUGGCACAUUUUAGAGUCCUGGAAAAUCAUUAGCUUUACACUGUAGCUUCUGUCUUUGGCCAACAUGGGGGAGCUAAAUUGUGGCACAUAACAAAUAUGGAAUGCAGAUUUUAGAUUUUCAUGCUGUCUUCCUGGUGGUGUUGAAUAAAGGACGUGGGGCAAAUGGCUUUUCAUAGCUGCCACAGAGUCAGAAAGUUUGGCUUUCCUGUGGGGGAAGAUGUAAGAUUGAAGGGCGAAGGAGAGCCCAUGGAAGAUGUCACUGGGCACUUAUCUGAUCUAUCUUGGUUGCAUCCUUUAUGACACAAGGAAAUUAUUUGACAAAAUUCACUUCAAGACCCAGUCUAUCUUAUACACAGUAGUACUAGCCUCUUUCAGUAAAAAGCACUUAGCAUCAAACUGGACCGAGUUUGGCACAUUGCCACAAUUUAUCGUGAGAUUUAAUCACCAAGAAUCUUUGGUACCUUUUUGCUAGUUCAGAUUUCAUUUGGGUCAUGACUAUGUCAGCACUGUUUCUAUUUCAAAGAAAAAAAUACGUUUUUUACAGUAGGGCCCAUUUUUAAUAUUUCAAACAGGUUUUUAUUUUAUGUGUUAAUUUGGAGGAUGUUAAUAAAGUUCAUAAAAUAUGUGCAGACUAUAUAAUUUAAUGGAAAAUAGCUGGUAUUUUUUAUUUGUAAUACAAAUAGAGAACUGACCACUGUGCCCUCCUCUCUGUCCCUGGAGUGGCCCAGGUAAAUCAGUGCCCUUAAGCUGCUUUUCCCUUUCGCUGCCAAGUCUGCAGACCCGGCCAAUAUCUGUAAAUUUACCUUUGUAAUUUGCCAUGUAGUUUUUGCAACAAUGACCUAAUUAAUUUGAGCACGAACCAUAUUAUUGCUACUGGACUCAUUUUCUGUCACAAACUUAAUUUCCAGGAAAUGCAACCUGACGAAUAAGAAUUCUUUAGCUCUCCACAUGUGUUCUCUGAGACCAAAGGCAAAUUUAAAAUAAUAAUAAUAAAUACUAAAAUGCCAGCAUUAUUAAAGGCAAUAUGCUUGAUGCCAAACUCAAUUUGAAGCUAGUAAACAUCAAACUGUAUUUCUAAUCAGUUUUCGAAUGUAACGUAUUCCAUAUUGAGUUUGCUGGAUUCUGUCUCUGCAUUUUACUGGCCAGCUGCACUCCCCUCUGCAUUUUUAAAACAUUUCAGCAAAGGAUUUUGCUGUUCUUAGCAGGGUUAGUAACUUGGGGUCUAUUUCUGAGCUCAUUCGUCAUUCUGAGAUGGCAUUGAGUUAGGCUGGCAAGGGAAGGAUUUGAGGCAUGGGGGGGAGGGGGGUGGCGAGGUCACUUCUGAUCCCAGCAGGGAAUAGGUGAGCUUCAUUUGCCUUUACAAUAGGCGCACAGUUACUGCACCUUGGAGGGGCUCUCAGGUGCCGCUCAGAUGGGCGCAUGUAAAUGCCCUGUCAGAUGUGGCGUUGGAAUAUUAAUGCUUCCUCCACCGCUGCACCAUAAUAAAGCUGUACACAGCGAGCUUAAUAUGCAGCUAGGCUAGGGAAUUGUAUAAACUUAGAUAGCCCAGUGUAAGAGACAGCGAUGGAAGAAUGCGCGGUAUGCUACAGUUCCCAGCUUGUUCUGCUUUGAUCUAUAGCAAAAUGAAAACAUCAUCUAUUCCUCCUCGCAGAGUUGUCUCCUCAACUCUGCCGCCUCCCAGUCCACCUCCAGUUAGGAUUUUCUUUCCUUUUCCUUUUCCUUUUCCUUUUCCUUUUCCUUUUCCUUUUCCUUUUCCUUUUCCUUUUCCUUUUCCUUUCCCUUUUUCUUUUUCUUCUCUCUCUCUCUCUCUCUCUCUCUCUCUCUCUCUCUCUCUCUCUCUCUCUCUCUUUCUCUCUCUCUUUCUGCUGGUAUGGAGAAACUCAACAUAAUUUGUUUCAUAUGGUUAAUUACAGGCAUUUGAAUAUUUAAAAUUUAAAAUAGCCAUGGCUCCAGCUUUUUCUGUUAAAAAGUAUGUGAUUUGAACAAAGGGAUUAGAGUGUAAAUAUUUGUGGUGAUUUGCAACACCCUUCUUCUCCCAUUAAACACACACGCACACAUCCACACUGCUGAUUUAAGGACUCCCAUACCUUUAUUUAUACUUCUUUUUAAAAACCUACUCUCAAUUGGAGCGCCAUUAAAAUACUUUUCCAUUAUAUUUUUGAGUCUGUUAUUGCUUGAGGUUUUAUAGAGAAUUUUUAUCAUGUGUUCAUUUAACAGAAUCAACAGCUGUCAGAACCAGUUGUGCUAAAUCC